rnacentral:ribozyme from 13 species
GAAAAAAAAGGGAAAGAAGAGAAAAAAAGAGAGAAUAGAAAAGAGAGAGGAGAAAGAAAACCAUGUUUCUUCGCGAACCAGAUCUUCUUCAACUUCUUCUCUUUCUCUCUCUUUCUCUUCUU